UCUAUGAGAUUUGGGCGAUCUCUAGUAAACUCAUGAAUAGGCCAGGAGUGUGACUAAUAUGCUCCACCCGAGGGGUCACCUUCGACAGCCUAGUACUAGUAAGACUUGUGGUGAAGCUCCUUUACGCCAAACUGACAAUUCAAGGCAUAGUCCAUUGUUCAGUUGUAAAGGGGUGUAGCUGCUUGCUCUAGGUGAAGCUCAACCUUAACAGGUCUUCACUAAAAUGCUGGUAUAUU
rnacentral:lncRNA from 1 species